CGGCGAGUGAACGGAGAUUAGCCCAGCACCGAAGCCUAUCUGCGUCUGUAGACAGGGCAAUGUGGUGUUUAGGCAUGUACCUUUGUGUUAUUCUUCUACUCGAAGUCCAACUUCGAUUCUGGCUUUGGAUCUGUCCCAAAGAGGGUGAGAGGCCCGUACGGGUAGACGGAAUAAUGCUUAGAUGUGCGUGCUUUGGAGUCGGAUUGCUUGAGAAUGCAGUCCAAAGCGGGUGGUAAACUCCAUCCAAGGCUAAAUACUGGCACGAGUCCGAUAGUAAACAAGUACCGUGAGGGAAAGUUGAAAAGUACUCUGAAGAGAGAGUAAAUAGUACGUGAAGCCGCUUGCAGGGAAGCUGGUGGAGUCAAGCUUCAUGCCUAGGUGAUUGGUAAAGAGAGUUUUGUUGUAUUCGGCACUUUUGACUGGUGGAUCUGGAAACGUUCCGUCAGGUGCAAACCUGAUUCGAGUGUUCUGGUAUGUAUGCUUUGGCCGGUCAUAAUGUGUUCUCUCUUACAUUCUAUCAUCAGGCAGCCACCACGGUUGAUACGCCAAUGGUGCAUGGGAUUCAAACUGUGUCUAUGUGGGCCCCUGGUCUGCUGGAUACAGGAUGGCAGUAGAUGCCCUAGUAUGACUUGCUCAUGUUAGUGGCAUGUAUAACGGCUUCGCCAGCCGGGUCUCAUGUUGUGUGUUAUUUUACUAUUUGGUGUAUCAUUAAAGCUAGCUGCGUCUCCAUGUUAAUUGGUAGCGCAGUUUAAGAAUCGUGGUGUUGGAGUAGAUUUUCCACCCGACCCGUCUUGAAACACGGACCAAGGAGUUUAACAUGAUCGCAAGUCAAUGGGCCUUACGAAACCCAGAGGCGCAAUGAAAGUAAAUGGAUGCUUUUCGCAACCUCAGGUGUGAUCCUGUGUGACCUUUACAAGGGCUCAUGGGCGCARCACCGGCCCGUUUCAAUUUGUAGUCGUUCGAACCACGGUUCGGAUGCAUCAAAGAGGCGGAGCAAGAGCGUUCAUGUUGAGACCCGAAAGAUGGUGAACUAUGCUUGCGUAGGUCGAAGCCAGAGGAAACUCUGGUGGAGGACCGUCGCGGUUUUGACGUGCAAAUCGAUCGUCAAACGUGAGCAUAGGGGCGAAAGACUAAUCGAACCAUCUAGUAGCUGGUUCCCUCCGAAGUUUCCCUCAGGAUAGCUGGCAAUCUCUUCGCUAAACAGUUUUAUCCGAUAAAGCGAAUGAUUAGAGGUAUUGGGGACUAAUUGUCCUCAACCUAUUCUCAAACUAUAAAUGGGUACGAUGCUUGACUCGCUUAAUUGGAGUCUAGCAUUGAAUGUGAUUGCCAAGUGGGCCAUUUUUGGUAAGCAGAACUGGCGCUGUGGGAUGCUCCGAACGUGCAGUUAAGGUGCCCAAUGCAGACGCUCAUGAGACACCAAAAAAGG
rnacentral:rRNA from 1 species